CUUGGAAUGCGACCCCA
rnacentral:rRNA from 1 species